GCCCCGGUAGCAUAGCCUGGUUAUUGCGACGGCUUGGUAAGUCGUAGGACGCGGGUCCAAAUCCCGCCCGGGGCUCCA
rnacentral:tRNA from 1 species